AGACAGGCAGUCACAAGCCUGGGGACUGCAGGCACAGUGAGGAAGGUAGGGAAGGGUCUCUCCAAGACAGGCCCACCAGGAGCCCCCACUGGGAAUAAUGCAGCCCCUCUCAGGGGAUGGAGUGUCUGGAAUUCCAUGGCUGAGGUGCAACAGGUGACUGAAGGUUUGAGGAGGCAACGCUGCCACUCACAGUCAGAAGCAGAGGGGAUGAGAUGGCCAGAUGUGAUUGGAAUCAGACACAGUGAGGUUUGAAUCCUCACUCUGUCCUUUUUGUUGUGUGGCCUGUGUGACAGGUCCCACAGCCUCUCCAGCCUCUGUGGGAAGAAGGAUCAUCUGAUGCCUAUGUAAUAGAGUUGCUGAAGGAGUGGAAGCAGCUUUGACAUUAUCAGUGGAACCCACCAGUGCAGACUGCUUCACCAAGGGCACCUGAGGCAGCAGAUCUGAGGAUUAGGGACGUAGGGAGCUGAAGCCUGGCUGGAGAGGUGGUGCGCACAAGAACCCCCACAUUCCCCGACAGGAGCCUGAAAAAGCAAGACGCCAUGUUGGGAGGACACGGAAGCAGUUCUAGGGAGAGGAGCACAUGGCAAGAAGCCAAGGCCUCCUGCCCACAGCCGGUGAGUAGCCAUCUAGGGGGUAGAUGUUCCAGCUCCAGUCUCAAAUGACAAAUCACCUUAAUUGUGACCUUACAAGAGACUCCAAGCCAGAACCAUCCAGCUAAUCUGCCCCUGAACUCCUGACCCACAGAAAUUAUGGGAGAUAAUAAAUACUUGUUGUUCUUUUAAGCCAUUAAAUUGGGGGAUAAUUGGUUCUGUAGGCAGACAGAGGAGGACUCUGAAAAGCAAAGGAGGAUUUGAGGGACCCAGAUCCCUGCAGUCCUGACUUCCCAUGGCUCUCCUGGGCCCUGUCUACGCAUCUGAAUGAA
rnacentral:lncRNA from 10 species